rnacentral:snRNA from 1 species
AGCCCUUCUAGGUAUUUUGGCUAAUAUCAACCGUGGGAUCUGUUUUUAUCAGUUUAAUAUCUGGGACAUCCUGUAUCCCAGGACAAUAUAUUAAGUUGAGUUUGGGAGCAGGGAGAGGGUUGAAAAUAAUAUGCAAAUGCUUAAUGUUGACCAUUUGCUCCUUUAAUCAGAUGUUCUGCAUGAAACUGGUAACUGGGUAACAAUUUU